rnacentral:rRNA from 1 species
AUUGAACGCUAGCGGGAUGCCUUACACAUGCAAGUCGAACGGCGUGGCGAACGGGUGAGUAAUGUAUCGGAACGUGCCCCGUAGCGGGGGAUAACUACGCGAAAGCGUAGCUAAUACCGCAUACUAUUAGAGCGGCCGCUCUCGGCUUCGCUAGUUGGUGGGGUAACGGCUUACCAAGGCGACGAUCCGUAGCUGGUUUGAGAGGACGACCAGCCACACUGGGACUGAGACACGGCCCAGACUCCUACGGGAGGCAGCAGUGGGGAAUUUUGGACAAUGGGGGAAACCCUGAGCCAGCCAUCCCGCGUGUGCGAUGAAGGCCUUCGGGUUGUAAAGCACUUUUGGCAGGAAAGCGGUACCUGCAGAAUAAGCACCGGCUAACUACGUGCCAGCAGCCGCGGUAAUAC